AAGGUGUCAUAGGAUCGAGUCGGAAUGGUAAGAUGAGUCGGUUAAGUCUAGGGUUUGACGUGUGUGGCAAUGAGUGAGAUCAUUGUAUUGAUUGAUCACUAGGUUGUUAGAAAUGAAUGGAAGUGAAUGUGGAAAAUUAUAGAUGACGUUAGGAAAUGAUAAAAUGCAUUAACUGAUUGUAGUGGUUAGUCAGUCCUAGUUCCCGCAUAGAGUAGUAUAGAGUGU
rnacentral:lncRNA from 1 species